UUGAACGCUGGCGGAAUGCUUUACACAUGCAAGUCGAGCGGCAGCGCGGGGCAACCUGGCGGCGAGCGGCGAACGGGUGAGUAAUAUAUCGGAACGUACCCUGUCGUGGGGGAUAACACAUCGAAAGAUGUGCUAAUACCGCAUACGACCUGAGGGUGAAAGCGGGGGAUCGCAAGACCUCGCGCGAUAGGAGCGGCCGAUAUCGGAUUAGCUAGUUGGUGAGGUAAAGGCUCACCAAGGCGACGAUCCGUAGCUGGUCUGAGAGGACGACCAGCCACACUGGAACUGAGACACGGUCCAGACUCCUACGGGAGGCAGCAGUGGGGAAUUUUGGACAAUGGGCGAAAGCCUGAUCCAGCCAUGCCGCGUGCAGGAUGAAGGCCUUCGGGUUGUAAACUGCUUUUGUACGGAACGAAAAAGUCUUCUCUAAUACAGGGGGCGAAUGACGGUACCGUAAGAAUAAGCACCGGCUAACUACGU
rnacentral:rRNA from 1 species